AUCGAACGCUGGCGGCAGGCCUAACACAUGCAAGUCGAGCGGAGCGGCGGACGGGUGAUGAAUGCCUAGGAAUCUGCCUGGUGGUGGGGUAUAACGUCGAGACACGGGCGCUAAUACCACAUACUAUCAGAUGAGCCUAGGUCGGAUUAGCUAGUUGGUGGGGUAAAGGCUUACCAAGGUGACGAUGCGUAACUGGUCUGAGAGGAUGAUCGGUCACCAUGGAACGGAGACACGGGCCAGACUCCUACGGGAGGCAGCAGUGGGGAAUAUUGGGCAAUGGGCGAAAGGCUGAUCCAGCCAUGCCGCGUGUGUGAAGAAGGUCUUCGGAUCGGAAAGCACUUUAGGUUGGGAAGCGUUACCAAAAGAGUAAGCAACGGCUAACUUCGUGCCAGCCGCCGCGGUAAUUC
rnacentral:rRNA from 1 species